rnacentral:rRNA from 1 species
GGGUGAGUAACACGUGGGUAACCUGCCCUAAAGUCUGGGAUACCACUUGGAAACAGGUGCUAAUACCGGAUAACAACAAUAGCUGCAUGGCUAUUGCUUAAAAGGCGGCGAAAGCUGUCGCUAAAGGAUGGACCCGCGGUGCAUUAGCUAGUUGGUAAGGUAAUGGCUUACCAAGGCGACGAUGCAUAGCCGAGUUGAGAGACUGAUCGGCCACAUUGGGACUGAGGCACGGCCCAAACUCCUACGGGAGGCAGCAGUAGGGAAUCUUCCACAAUGGGCGAAAGCCUGAUGGAGCAACGCCGCGUGAGUGAAGAAGGUUUUCGGAUCGUAAAGCUCUGUUGUUGGUGAAGAAGGAUAGAGGUAGUAACUGGCCCCUAUUUGACGGUAAUCAACCAGAAAGUCACGGCUAACUACGUGCCAGCAGCCGCGGUAAUACGUAGGUGGCAAGCGUUGUCCGGAUUUAUUGGGCGUAAAGCGAGCGCAGGCGGAAAGAUAAGUCUGAUGUGAAAGCCCCCGGCUUAACCGAGGAAUUGCAUCGGAAACUGUGUUUCUUGAGUGCAGAAGAGGAGAGUGGAACUCCAUGUGUAGCGGUGGAAUGCGUAGAUAUAUGGAAGAACACCAGUGGCGAAGGCGGCUCUCUGGUCUGUAACUGACGCUGAGGCUCGAAAGCAUGGGUAGCGAACAGGAUUAGAUACCCUGGUAGUCCAUGCCGUAAACGAU